rnacentral:antisense_RNA from 1 species
AAGUUAAGCAAAUUCUUUCCAGAGAGAAGGUGAGCCUGACAGACUAAAACAUUGAGCACGGAUGAUACAGCAGAAAUAACGUUUCCAGUGUAAUGAGAGAUAAAGGGGAAUACUGUCCACCGAGGAAAUGACUUUCUUCACCAUACUGACCACACUGCACAGCACCCGAUCCGGCUGGUGAGGAUGGGGAGGUGGGAAGAAUCUCAAAGCACUGGACAGGGUGAGGACUCAGGAAGUCAUGGGGUCAGCCCUACAGCAGUCAGCUCCUCUCUGUUGUUGGAGAGGCCCUGAGCCCCAUUACUCACUAUACGAGGGCCAGAGUGUCUUUGGCAGGUGGAGGCUGGCUCAUGGGAGAACACCAAGUGAGGGGGCUCCUCUGUGAACCCAAGAAACUUCAAGGAACCCCACAGCGUCUCCAUUGUGACCUCCCAUCUCCAGGUUAGGAAGCUAUGGAUUCCCAGAAGGUCCUUUCGAAGUAUCUAGAAAUGUCCAGGGUGAGUCUGGCCAGGUUCACCUUCAGGAUGCUUUCCCCAUGCCCUGUGGUUGAGAUGGCUCCGAUGUCAUUGUCAGCAUAACCUCCAGCUCCUGCUC